UGCUCCCAGCACAGGGUCUGCUCUCUCUGGGGUGCUUUUCUGGUCCCUCUGGAUCUGGCCCAGCUCUGCUCCCCAGUUCAGCUCGGCCCCCUGCUUUCUCCUUAGCUCUGCCCCCACUCUGUCUGAUGCAGGCGAUUUCAGCUUACAUGGAGGAUGGGACCUCCCUGGCCUCCUGACUCUCUGAUUAGCCUGCCCACCCUGUCAUUCAGGCUGACCUGGAGCAUUGGCCUCUCCCCAUUGUUCCUGGGACUAUCAGUCUCAGGGUCCUGGUUUCCCAUAGACCCUUCCCCUUUUAGUACUGGGAGCUAGCCAACCAAAACACCGCCCCUGAAUGUUAGUAAGGGGGCAACAAUCCCCUUACACAAGCUUCUUCAGCAGCGUUCCUGGCACAAGUCCUGAGGAAAUACGUAGAGCGGCGACGUGGUCCUCCAUACAUACUUUCACCAUGCAUUAUGCUAUUACCGAGCAGGCCAGAGACUAUGUGGUCUUCAGUAGAGCUGUGCUCCAAUCAGUGGACAGUUCCAAACCCACCUCCUGAACUUGGGCCUGGGAGUCACCUGAUUGGAAUUGACAUGAACAAGCACUUGAAGAAGAAAAAACAGUUACUCACCUUCUCGUAACUACUCUUCUUCGAGAUUUGUUGUUCAUGUCCAUUCUAAUACCCACCCUCCUACCCCUCUGUCGGAGUAGUCUGCAAGAAGGAACUGAGGGGAUGGCAGGUUGGUUGGGCCCUAUAUUGAGCACCAUGAUGGCACCACUCCAGGGGGCACCUGGACCAACCCGAUGGAUACUGCUAGGAAAAAAAUCUUCCAGGUUCUGUGCACGCGUGUGCACACACACCUGAUUGGAAUAGACAUGAACAACAGUUAUGAGAAGGCGAGUAACUGUUUUUUCUGGAACUUUUGCACAGUUCUUUUUAAAGCUGUUUUCUCACCCAACAUUAUAUAAUGUUAGAGGAAUUAUUAGUUAAUACAUUCAAUCAAAAAGUAAAAUUUGCAUGGUGUUAUAUUAGAAAUAACCAUACCAAAAAAUCUAGCAUUAUAGGCAGGACAACCUGUGCUUGCUGUUAGUGGAUGGGGGUGGGGGGGAAGAGAAGGGAGGCAGAGGGACGGCUGCCAGCUUCAGCAAUGUUAUUGAGCAUGCCUAGUCUGUGUAAGCAUGCUCAGUACAAGCCAAGCAGCAAAUUGGGGUGGGGAGGGAGAGGGGGCAGGGGCAUGUGAUCCCUUGUUUCCCCCAUGCAUAGUGUCCGAUGAAGUGAGCUGUAGCUCACGAAAGCUUAUGCUCAAAUAAAUUUGUUAGUCUCUAAGGUGCCACAAGUACUCCUUUUCUUUUUGUCUGACUAUAGAUAGCUGUCAUCCUUCUAAUCUUGAAGAGUUCUCUGCUGCUUUGUUUAACAUACUUUCUUGGUGCUACAGAAUGGGAGAAAACAUGUUAGUUUAAUUCCUGUAAGGUCUCAGUUUCCUAAACCAGGCAAGUUGUUCCCCAAAUGGGAGGAAACCAAGCUCUUCCUAACUUAACUGCCAAGUUUGUUUGAACAUUUUUACUAUAUUUGUCAAAAUCACUUUAAACAUACAUGUUCAAUUUUCCAAUGGAACUGGAGUUGCUAUUUGUAUAACAAGAUUCUUAAUUUUCAGUGUAUGUUCUCAUGACUAAAAAGUGCAGAAUUUGUUGGCAAAAUGAUCUUUGACUGGAAAACUACCCUCUCAUGCUUCCCAAGUGGUUCUCUUUAUAAGCCAUUUGAGGCUCUCAGGACAUCAGCAUAAUACAAAUAGCAAAUAUUGCCUUUUAGGAAGUUAGAUCCCUGAUCCUAUUUAAACAAGCAUGUAUGUAAUGUCUUGUGCAGAUAUCAUGCAGGCAUGCAUAUCUAACAAUUUAGAUCUAUAGUAAAACAAAAAAUAAAGGAAACAAGCAUACCACACACAGAGCUGCCAAUACCAGGGAAUAGACAACACUGGAAGACACGGCACUCUGAUAGUAUGGUGAUGGCCACCAGUAUAAAACCCUAGCCUAAGAGACAUGAAAUAUCAGAUAUUUUUAAAUGGCAAUUGCUAGGUAGCAUGUGCAAAAAUAUGUAAAACUAAAUACAGUUAUAACAUCUGCAAAACAGAAGAAU